ACAAGCAUUUCUGUUGCGCCGGGGCUCCACAGGCUCCCUGCUUGCAGCAAUGCUUGGGGUUCAGGUGUCUGUAGCGUUUCACUUCUUGUUUUUAUAUUUAUCUCCCUUUAGAACUGCUGUCAUUUGCCUGGUUGUGUGCAAGGAAGGAAAACCCAAAAUACUUGUCACCAGGGAGGAGACGAGAUCACUGCAAUCCACAGUGGCAGUUGGGCUGGCAAAGCCUUUACUUGCUUUUCACUUGGGAGAAUCAGUGACUACCAGGUUGUCCUGACCGAAGUGCCGCCAUUGUCCUCUGCCUGCCUCUGGCAAACAUCUAGUGAGAUUUCUUUGUCUUUUAUUUGGAGGUGUUUGAAGACUGGGGGGCUGUCUGCCUGCUGCUCCUUAUGGCUUGGCUUCUGUUUGUGCCUGGAUAGUCCCGGAUGUGCUGCCGUUCACAGAGGAGGCCGGUCCACCUUCCCUCCCUUCCUAACCAACAGUCACUUGGUGGGUGACAACCCUGAAGAGACGCCUUGAGGCACUGUGGGUGAAGCAGGGGACAGAAGCCGACUCAGCCUGUGGACGUGGAACUCUUUGAUUGUGAUUGUGAUACAUAGGACACAGAUAUCAAACCAUGGAGACUUGACCCAAGUCUGCUAAGUAUGCAAGUGUGCAGUUCUCACUGAGAUGCCCACAGAGCACAAUCGGCCCUUGAGGGUGUAAGGACUUUUUGAGGAUGAGAAGAUGAGGUGUGUGAGCCAAGGCUAAAAUAACGGGCCUUCCUUCUUCCUGCUCGGUGCAUUAAGAAUGUAUUAUAUGCUAACCUCUGUUUGUUAUGCUUUAAAUCAUUGAGACUGAACCAGGUUGGUGGUGCUUGACUUUCACCCCAGCACUGGGGAAGUAGAGGCAGGCAGGUCUCUGUAAAUUCAAGGCCAGCCUGGAUUCCAAGCCAACCAAGGCUACUUAGUGAGACCCUGUCUAGAAACAAAUAAAAAACACAAGAUUAAGUCCAGCCCUGCAGGAGUUUACAGCUGUGGGAGGCUGAACACAGGAAUUCCUAGGAAUCCAUGAAUAAAAUACAAUUCGGAUGAAGGAGUUUGAAAGGCCCACAGAGAGCCGUCGUGUGGACUCAUAGGGCUCAGGACAGCUUUCUGUCAGGAGGUGCUGAGGAGGAAACACUGUUACCAUGGAAACAAGCGGUUUCAUUUACAGCGACAGCGUCGCCGUCAUCUUCACCAUCAGAGCAGUUUCUGGGAGACACAAACUUCGGAUCUCUACAAAGACUUAGCAAACCAUUGCCAGCUCUGCUACAAGAGAAAGCGAAUAAGAAGGUUUUCGGAGGAAGGGGAAUUUGGCCAAUUGGAUGUUGCCUUCAAAGUAAAUGAUGUAUGGUUUUAAUUU